rnacentral:rRNA from 1 species
AUUCCAGCUCCAAUAGCGUAUAUUAAAGUUGUUGCAGUUAAAAAGCUCGUAGUUGAACUUCAGACCUGGCCGGGCGGUCCGCCUAACGGUGUGUACUGUCUGGCUGGGUCUUACCUCUUGGUGAGCCGGCAUGCCCUUCACUGGGUGUGUCGGGGAACCAGGACUUUUACCUUGAGAAAAUUAGAGUGUUCAAAGCAGGCUUAUGCCCGAAUACAUUAGCAUGGAAUAAUAAAAUAGGACGUGCGGUUCUAUUUUGUUGGUUUCUAGAGUCGCCGUAAUGAUUAAUAGGGAUAGUUGGGGGCAUUAGUAUUCAGUUGCUAGAGGUGAAAUUCUUGGAUUUACUGAAGACUAACUACUGCGAAAGCAUUUGCCAAGGAUGUUUUCAUCG